rnacentral:RNase_P_RNA from 2 species
UCAGCUACAAUCUAGCAUUUGGGGCUAACAAACGAGUAUUGAAUUACUCCCACACAUGCCUCGGGAAGGUCUGAGAUUUGGCCGAAAUUUAAAUUUCUUUCCUAGCAGGAAACUUGUACAACCCAAAAGGCAAAAGGACAAGAAAUUCUGUAUUUUCCACGCGUCUUGGUGGAAAUACAUUGAAAUCUUUUGUGGCCAGCUGUUUUAGUGCAAUGUGCUUGCUGUUACUAUGUAAAUAAAUAUUUAGAAACAGAACUCAAUUCAGACUAAUCUGUAGCUGA